rnacentral:rRNA from 1 species
UGAGGAAUAUUGCGCAAUGGAGGAAACUCUGACGCAGUGACGCCGCGUAUAGGAAGAAGGUUUUCGGAUUGUAAACUAUUGUCGUGAGGGAAGAAAUUGACAGUACCUCAGGAGGAAGCUCCGGCUAACUAUGUGCCAGCAGCCGCGGUAAUACAUAGGGAGCAAGCGUUAUCCGGAUUUACUGGGUGUAAAGGGAGCGCAGGCGGUGCGGCAAGUCUGAUGUGAAAGCCCGGGGCUCAACCCCGGUACUGCAUUGGAAACUGUCGUACUAGAGUGUCGGAGGGGUAAGUGGAAUUCCUAGUGUAGCGGUGAAAUGCGUAGAUAUUAGGAGGAACACCAGUGGCGAAGGCGGCUUACUGGACGAUAACUGACGCUGAGGCUCGAAAGCGUGGGGAGCAAACAGGAUUAGAUACCCUGGUAGU